GGGGAUGUACCUCAGUGGUAGAGCGCAUGCUUUGCAUGUAUGAGGCCUAGGGUUUGAUCCCCUGCAUCUCCA
rnacentral:tRNA from 1 species